rnacentral:misc_RNA from 1 species
AAGACUAUAGACCUGCGGAGUACCUGCGGAGGGAUCAUUACAGAGUUGCAAAACUCCCAAACCAUUGUGAACGUUACCUUCUCGUUGCUUCGGCGGGCGGCCCGGGUCCUUCCCGGCGCCCCCCGGCCCCUCGCGGGCGCCCGCCGGAGGUAAACCAAACUCUUGAAUUGUAUGGCCUCUCUGAGUCUUCUGUACUGAAUAAGUCAAAACUUUCAGCAACGGAUCUCUAGAUCGGAAGAG